ACCCGCUGAACUUAAGCAUAUCAAUAAGCGGAGGAAAAGAAACCAACAGGGAUUGCCCUAGUAACGGCGAGUGAAGCGGCAACAGCUCAAAUUUGAAAUCUGGCCUUCUGUAGAGGGUCCGAGUUGUAAUUUGUAGAGGGUGCUUCGGCAUUGACCUUGGUCUAAGUCCUUUGGAACAAGGCGUCACAGAGGGUGAGAAUCCCGUAUGUGGCCAUGGGUCUUUGCCAUGUGAAGCCCCUUCGACGAGUCGAGUUGUUUGGGAAUGCAGCUCUAAAUGGGAGGUAAAUUUCUUCUAAAGCUAAAUAUUGGCCAGAGACCGAUAGCGCACAAGUAGAGUGAUCGAAAGAUGAAAAGCACUUUGGAAAGAGAGUCAAAAAGCACGUGAAAUUGUUGAAAGGGAAGCGCUUGCAGCCAGACUUGUUGGCGGCGGUUCAUCUGGGCAUUCGUGCCCGGUGCACUCCGCCGUCGGCAGGCCAGCAUCAGUUUGGGCGGUCAGAGAAAGGCCCUGGGAAUGUAGCUCGCUUCGGGGAGUGUUAUAGCCCAGGGCGUCAUGUGGCCAGCCUGGACUGAGGUCCGCGCUUCGGCUAGGAUGCUGGCGUAAUGGCGGC
rnacentral:rRNA from 1 species